rnacentral:lncRNA from 1 species
AUGAGUGUUGGAAUUUGUGGGUACGGAGAGACAACAUUUGGACUCUCAGAAAAAAGCUGUAAACUGGGGAACAGGCUGAGGCCCUUUGUGAAGAGAUGGGUUAAAACCAGUGAAGCAGGAGCUAUUCCAGUGUCCAGUGUCCUCAGCUCAUUCUCCCGUGGUGAUGCUGCCAGAGAGCAGAGACCAGCCAUCAGAAGCACAUUAAUUCUGGUCUUUUCUUGUAUCUCUCAAAUAGUGCCCAAAAAAAAGAGACACUGUUUGCACCCCCGGGCUCACUGGUUCAGUCUUUCUCCUUCUUCCCCGGCUUCUCACCACUCCUCAUGCACUGUCAGUGGAAGCCCUGCCUCUACCUGCAAUAGGAAACUGAGCCGAGAGACGGUCCCCUUAUGGCCUCUAACCUGCGCAUCUCAGGCACGAGAUCCUCUCCCUUCAGCAUUCCUGCCUUCCUUAUUCCCUGUGUCCUGGGCCCUCUGCACACCUUAUCUCCAGCCCUGUUUGGCAUCGACAUUCUAA